rnacentral:rRNA from 1 species
AUUGAACGCUGGCGGUAGGCCUAACACAUGCAAGUCGAGCGAGCGGCGGAAGGGUGAGUAAUGUCUGGGAAACUGCCUGAUGGAGGGGGAUAACUACUGGAAACGGUAGCUAAUACCGCAUACAAGACGAUGUGCCCAGAUGGGAUUAGCUAGUAGGUGGGGUAACGGCUAACCGAGGCAACGCGCCCGAGCUGGUCUGAGAGGAGGACAAGCCACACUGGAACUGAGCCACGGUCCAGACUCCUACGGGAGGCAGCAUUGGGGAAUAUUGCACAAUGGGCGCAAGCCUGAUGCAGCCAUGCCGCGUGUGUGAAGAAGGCCUUCGGGUUGUAAAGCACUUUCAGCGGGGAGGCGUUACCCGCAGAAGAAGCACCGGCUAACUCCGGGCCAGCAGCCGCGGUAAUAC